rnacentral:lncRNA from 1 species
CAGAUAUUCAAAGAACAAAGAACAAAAAAGUGAACCGUGAUAUUCAUAUGCGGAUCUAGGAUAAAUUUUAAAAAGGGGGGUAUAACUGGGGGCACCAAGCUAUAAAAGUCUGUUUUGACCAGAUUUGUAGCCUUUAUAAGGGGUGACUGUGACCCGGGUCGCCUACCCCUAAAUUCGCUUCUGAAAUUAAAGGUAACCGCAGGGCCUUUAAACUCCAAGUUUCAUAUUUCUGGUCCGUGUUGAAAAUAAAUGAACAUGACUUUGAAAAAGCAAGAAUCAUAAGCUAAAAGUUUAAUGACGUCUAUUCAAAUGUUUGAAAUAA